ACGAACGCUGGCGGCGUGCCUAAUACAUGCAAGUCGAACGGUCUUUCUAUGGAAGCUUGCUUCCACUGAGAAGAUAGUGGCGAACGGGUGAGUAACACGUGGGUAACCUGCCCAUAAGAGGGGGAGUAACAUCCGGAAACGGGUGCUAAUACCGCAUAGUUUUCUUGAUCGCAUGAUCGGGAAAGGAAAGACGGCCUUUGUGCUGUCGCUUAUGGAUGGACCCGCGGCGUAUUAGUUAGUUGGUGAGGUAACGGCUCACCAAGACGAUGAUACGUAGCCGACCUGAGAGGGUGAUCGGCCACAUUGGGACUGAGACACGGCCCAAACUCCUACGGGAGGCAGCAGUAGGGAAUCUUCCGCAAUGGACGAAAGUCUGACGGAGCAACGCCGCGUGAGUGAAGAAAGGUUUUCGGAUCGUAAAACUCUGUUGUCAGAGAAGAACAAGUUGGAGAGUAACUGCUCCAGCCUUGACGGUAUCUGACCAGAAAGCCACGGCUAACUACGUGCCAGCCGCAGC
rnacentral:rRNA from 1 species